rnacentral:misc_RNA from 1 species
CAGUGACUUUACCGUCAAACCACAGCGAAUAAUACCCUGACGUUGCCUCGGCGGGCGCCGUGGUGUCUGGCCCUAGGCCGGGCCCGCGGCGUCGAGCCCGCCGGCGGCCUACUACUCUGCCUCUUCAGCGUUGCAUCUCUGAGUCUCACACAAAUGAGUCA